rnacentral:piRNA from 1 species
UAGGAGAGCCACUCAGGUCCACUCCAGAGG